rnacentral:rRNA from 1 species
UACGUAGGGUCCGAGCGUUGUCCGGAGUUACUGGGCGUAAAGCGCGCGCAGGCGGCGGUGCUGGCCCGGCGUGAAAGCCCCCGGCUCAACCGGGGAGAGUCGUCGGGGACCGCACCGCUUGAGGGCGGUAGGGGCUGGUGGAAUGCCUGGUGCAGUGGUGAAAUGCGUAGAGAUCAGGCAGAACACCUGGGGCGAAGGCGGCCAGCUGGGCCGUCCCUGACGCUGAGGCGCGAAGGCGUGGGGAGCGAACGGG